GAUGUCGUCAGGGUCCAUGC
rnacentral:misc_RNA from 1 species